rnacentral:rRNA from 1 species
AUUGAACGCUGGCGGCAUGCCUUACACAUGCAAGUCGAACGGUAACAGGUUAAGCUGACGAGUGGCGAACGGGUGAGUAAUAUAUCGGAACGUGCCCAGUAGUGGGGGAUAGCCCGGCGAAAGCCGGAUUAAUACCGCAUACGACCUACGGGUGAAAGGGGGGAUCGCAAGACCUCUCGCUAUUGGAGCGGCCGAUAUCAGAUUAGCUAGUUGGUGGGGUAAAAGCUCACCAAGGCGACGAUCUGUAGCUGGUCUGAGAGGACGACCAGCCACACUGGGACUGAGACACGGCCCAGACUCCUACGGGAGGCAGCAGGUGGGGAAUUUUUGGACAAUGGACGCAAGUCUGAUCCAGCCAUGCCGCGUGCGGGAUGAAGGUCCUCUGGAUUGUAAACUU